AGAGGCGGCGCGGGCUGGGGCCCAGCAGGACUGCCAGGGCCUGCGGGAGGCGAGCCCAUACGGACUCUACUGAAGGGGCAUUUGGCCGAGGAGGGAUCCGUGGCAGAGCCUACCGGCCUGGGGAGAUGUACGCAUGGCUCACUAUCUCAGGGCGGGUUCUGCCUAAAGGACCCAACAGCGCCUGCGGCGUGCUGGCAGUAGGAGACGCUCCCGCCCAUUGGCCCAUCUUAUCCGCCCCCGCCAUGGCCCGCCGGGGCCACCGGGGCCGAGCACAUCACAGCGACAGGAGUUAGUGCGCUAAUGGAGUGAAGGGGAGAGGUGAGAUUGACAGCCUCUGUGUCGGCCCAGAGGCCGACUGUGGGCCUCUGUGUCAGCCCAGAGGACGUCCCAGUAACGAUUGGGCAAGGUCCUGUGUAAAGGCGACGGGGGAAGUAGCGACCAAUGGAUUUGGCUGGCAACGUCGCAAACGAGGGUGGGUCUUGCAUUCUUGGGCCUGACGAUUGGUCUUUCCAAGUGGCGGAAACGACGGAGAUGUGACUGGAAACAAAAUCUGGUAUUAAAGCGCUGGGAGACAAAACGUCGGCCUCGAGGGUCGGAGCGUCGGAUAACGGUUGCCUUCCCGCGAUGUCUUGCCUGCCCGCGGGCUUCUCGGGCCACGUCCAGCCCGGCUCCCGGAAAGCCCAGCCUCUGGCUGUGCUGCCCUAGAGGGCGUCAAGUGGUAUGGAGAGCCCUGGGCGGGACUAGUGUAUUUUUUAAUGCUGCGUUUUAUUGGGGACUAAGACAACUGAGAUUAGUUCUCACGAUGUUGCCCAAGCUGGUCUUAAACUCCUAGGUUCAAAGGAGCCUUCUACCUUAGCCUCCCAAGCAGCUGAGACUACAGGAAUGGGCACUACAGACCAUGUCAUCAUCCUGGCGUCACCCAGGCUGGAAUGCAGUUGCAUGAUCUUGGCUCAUGGCAGCCUCCACCUCCUGGGUUCAAGCAAUUAUCUGGCCUCAGCCUCUGGCAUAACUGGGAUUACAGGUGCGUACGUACCACCAUGCCCAGCUAAUUUUUGUAUUAGUAGAGAUGGGUUUUCACCAUGUUGGCCAGGCUGGUCUCAAACUCCCGACUUCAGGUGAUCUGCCCACCUCAGCCUCCCAAGGUGCUGGGAUUACAGGCGUGAGCCCCCAUGCCCGGCCAUCUUUGUUCUUCCUUGAGGGCCCCUUCUUCCUUUUAAACCCUGAUAGAGAGCAGAACUCCACCCACAUUGUGGCUGUUUGUGUUGACAAUGGGUGACAUCACCAACAUCUGCAAUGACACUGCACUGCACUCGGUGCAGGAGGGACACACUUCUGUGCACACUCUCAACUUCGACUACACUGUGGAGUGCAUCCUUGUAGGUACAGAGGGUUCGCCCUGGGUGAAGGCUGAUCUUAGCAGGGCUUGAACCCCAGAAAUACCCAGGCAGGUAUUUAGAGGUGAGGUGGAUGGAACCAGAUCCAGGCCUGAGUGUCCUGUGAUUUAGUGGCAGGGAACCAUCACAGGGGAAGGAACACACAUUGCGUUUCAGUUCUAUAUAACUCAUAUCUUUAUGAUACCACGUACUUUUCCUUAGUUUAAAAUAUCACAGAUCUACCUAAGAGUAGACAGACUCCUCCAACGGAAAUAUAAAAAUGCCUUGUCAAAGAAAAUGAAAAAAUAAAAAUAAAAACAUGUCCCCCCCAAAAUAAAAA
rnacentral:lncRNA from 1 species